rnacentral:rRNA from 1 species
GUGCCAGCAGCCGCGGUAAUACGGGGGGGGCAAGCGUUGUUCGGAAUUACUGGGCGUAAAGGGUGCGUAGGCGGCUCUCUAAGUCGGAUGUGAAAACUCUGGGCUCAACCCAGAGCCUGCAUCCGAAACUGGAGGGCUAGGGUUCUGGAGGGGAAAGCGGAAUUCCUGGUGUAGCGGUGAAAUGCGUAGAUAUCAGGAGGAACACCGGUGGCGAAGGCGGCUUUCUGGACAGAUACCGACGCUGAGGCACGAAAGCUAGGGGAGCAAACAGGAUUAGAUACCCGAGUAGUCC